UAUGAAGACACAUUAUGGACACAUAUAGACUGCCUUAAGAUUUUGCUCUCUUUCAAAAGAAAAACUUUUGAAAAUCAACCUUGAUCUUUGAGAAUCAAAAAUAUACAUUCCUUUCCUAUUUUUAAAAAUCUGGUCGUCUUCUUAUUCUAUUGGGUUUUAUUGCUGCUGUUUUACUUCAAGCUUUCAGAUACUUAUUUUCUUAUCUGUAGUUUGCUUGCUGCUAUCAAGAAGCUGGAAGAAUAAUGAAAUGAACCACAAAAGGAAACUAAAUCAUCGAUGCCUCACCUUGAUAAUUUGAAGACUUGAACUUCUCAACUAGACGUAAACUUGAAGCUCAAGAAAUGGUUUGCUGUAAGUGGUAAUUUUGAUGAAUGGUUUGGGGAGGUAUAUAUAGUUGGAAGACCUCAUUGUUUGGGGCCCAAAGUUUACUUUUUGAUCUGUUUUGUGACUUCAAACAGUUUCCUUAAAUGAGAUUCCACAAGAUAGCGCAAAUUUUCCAAAAAAGAGUUGGAUAAACCAACUACUUUCCUUCCUUAUUGACUGUAGAGGUAUGGCUCUCUAAAGUUGUCGACUGUCAUAUUCAUGCAUGUGAAGCAUAUUUUCUUGCAGAAGUCCAAUAAUGCCCCUCCUUACCUGUUCGACUGUCCAUUAUUCUACUAAAAAGGAGCUCCUCAAAAUAUUAUUCUUUGUUCUGUAUCCAUUUCUAGUAGGUGUUAUGAGGGGAAGAUGUUAUGUGAAAGGUGGGGUUAUUUUACCGCGUGAUCUUGCUAAGAUAGAUGGACCCUUGAGAUGAUUUGGAUUCUCACGCUUACACAUUAGAUUAGUGUGUGUAAUCCACAUUGCCAAUGCAAGCAACUGCCUGACACGAAGGCUAACGUCGUUCAGGUGGAAAAUGGUUCAGGUUCUAAAGGGGCAAAAACUGUGACAAAGUUUACCACCAAGGAAUCAAUUCCCUCAUAAUGCAAAUUCAAGUCCUAUUAUUCUUAUUGUGUAAUAUUCUUCUUAAUAAUUCAAAAGUGGACUUCUUUUCAUCUCCUGUUUAGUCAUGCAUGUGUUAGAAAUCAGAGCACUCUAGAUAUUAUCAGACCAGUCCUUAGUUUCACCAAAUAGAUUGCUAAGAAUGUUAACAGCUUUUAUCGGUACAGACAGGUGAUACAUUAAUUCGGAACAAAACAUGAGAGUUGCGUUAUUCCUGACAGUAUUUAAUAUAUCAAUUUUAAGAGAAAUACCUCUUUCUUGACUGGUACCUGAGACAAUGUAUUAAGGUAUACAAUCACACGACGUUUACCUUUGUUUUUCAUCAAUUCUCUGAAGAUUCUGAAUGUGAUGCAUGGCACAAGAUUUGAACUUUAUGACUUUGAAGCCCUGUAAUUGUUUUUAUGAUAAGUUAUAAGGUUAACCAUCUUUGACAAUAAUCAGUUUAGUGAUCUCUCUCUUUUCAUAAAAGGAAAAGGAUUGUAAGGUUAUACUAUAACUUUUCCUUGGUUCAAAAGCCAUAAAAGGAGAAUGCUAAUAUCUGAACUCCCUUACUAAAGGGAUAGUUUAUUAUGCAUUGGUAAGAGUUUUCAAGCAAAGAUCCAAGAAUUGACAAACUCUCCGCACAGUUAUAAGUGGCAAGAAAUGAGUGAAUAUUACACAAUCUAUGGUCAUUGAUGAGUCACAGAAAAAAAUCCAGGCCUCUCAUACAAACACAUAACAUGGUUUUCAUAGUGAAGCAAAUCAAGAGUAAUCCGAGAUUGACAAUGAGUUGAAGUCGCUUGACCAGUUAUUGGGACCGUGAAUGCUGACAUGGAAACUGUAGCUGAUUCCACCUAAGCGCAGAAGCUCGAGUGUUGACAUAGGAUUUGAUAAGGAGGAAUCCUAAUCACCAUUUUUAACCAGACAAGAUGAACCUCAGACAAAGUUUCAUCCUUUAUUCUAUAUGCGUGACCAUUCUAUAAAGGGGGCCAAUAUUCCUCAAUAAUACUUGCCAGAAUCUACAUCAUAAUGGUAAUGAUAAAAAUAGCCGUUGCUUUUGAA